AUUGAACGCUGGUGGCAGGCCUAACACAUGCAAGUCGAACGGUAACAGGAAGAAGCUUGCUUCUUUGCUGACGAGUGGCGGACGGGUGAGUAAUGUCUGGGAAACUGCCUGAUGGAGGGGGAUAACUACUGGAAACGGUAGCUAAGACCGCAUAACGUCGCAAGACCAAAGAGGGGGGCCUUCGGGCCUCUUGCCAUCGGAUGGGCCCAGAUGGGAUUACCUAGUAGGUGGGGUAACGGCUCACCUAGGCGACGAUCCCUAGCUGGUCUGAGAGGAUGACCAGCCCCACUGGAACUGAGACACGGUCCAGACUCCUACGGGAGGCAGCAGUGGGGAAUAUUGCACAAUGGGCGCAAGCCUGAUGCAGCCAUGCCGCGUGUAUGAAGAAGGCCUUCGGGUUGUAAAGUACUUUCAGCGGGGAGGAAGGGAGUAAAGUUAAUACCUUUGCUCAUUGACGUUACCCGCAGAAGAAGCACCGGCUAACUCCGUG
rnacentral:rRNA from 1 species